CAGGAAGCCGGGCCGGGGGCAGUGGUCGGGCUGCUCCCGGGAAGGAGAGCUGUGGCCCGGGGAGCCGAAGUAACUUCUGUUGGAGAGGUGAUCAACCGGGAGAAGGUGGAUUUCGUGCGGCUGGAGUAGAUGUGUGUUGUAGGGCCGAGACCAGCAUUGCUUUGGAGGGUGUUUUUUACCUUAAGCUCAUCAUUGGGCCGCAGAACUCUGAUAUUGAAGAGCACUAAAUAUUAACAACCUCAAAGAAUGUCCAUAUGAGAAGAGGAUGCUUAGUACCACGAGAAAAAAUGUGACUGAAGGUAUUUCCUUGGCACCAAGAUCCUUAAUAUGCCUUCUUUCCAGAUUGCUGUGUUUGUGUUGCUGUUACACUUCUGCAGAAGCGAGAGAACACAACUUUCUGUAUGUUAUUUUCAUCUGAUGCAUUAAGCAAACACUGGCUUAUGAAACACUAGAUUUUAUAUGCUGCAUAAUAAAGAAUAUGAAACAGCAAUUCAUAAUGUAAGCUUCUUUAGGCAGCUUUAAAAAUCUGCUGUUUGAUUCAGUGAUCUCCAAGGAAAUUUUGAGAACUCCCUGCGCACGAACAGUUUCAAGGAGGAAGGAUGAGGAGAACACUUGCGAUACAUUCUGGCGAGGGAGCAGGUUGCUUCACUUGCCUGCUUUGGAACAAAUGGCUGCCCAUAGUCAAAAAGAGCAGGGGUUUGAAAGGUGCGGUACUGUUUAAAUAAAUACUUUUCUUGCUUCCUCUGCACAUUCUAUUUAAAGUGUUGUGGAAAGAGGUCAAAAGGUCUUUUCUUUCAGGUAUGCAGUUUUGGGUCAGGGUCUAGAU